GACAGAGGGUGCAAACGUUGCUCGGAAUUACUGGGCGUAAAGCGCGUGUAGGCGGAUAUAUAAGUCAGAUGUGAAAUCCCUGGGCUCAACCCAGGAACUGCAUUUGAAACUGCAUAUCUGGAGUGUCGGAGAGGAAAGCGGAAUUCCUGGUGUAGAGGUGAAAUUCGUAGAUAUCAGGAGGAACACCGGUGGCGAAGGCGGCUUUCUGGACGAUUACUGACGCUGAGACGCGAAAGCGUGGGGAGCAAACAGG
rnacentral:rRNA from 1 species